CAGCAGCCGCGGUAAUGCGAAGGGUGCAAGCGUUAAUCGGAAUUACUGGGCGUAAAGCGUGCGUAGGCGGUGAGUUAAGUCUGCUGUGAAAUCCCCGGGCUCAACCUGGGAAUGGCAGUGGAUACUGGCUCGCUAGAGUGUGUCAGAGGAUGGUGGAAUUCCCGGUGUAGCGGUGAAAUGCGUAGAGAUCGGGAGGAACAUCAGUGGCGAAGGCGGCCAUCUGGGACAACACUGACGCUGAGGCACGAAAGCGUGGGGAGCAAACAGGAUUAGAUACCCCCGUAGUCCCUGUCUCUUAUAC
rnacentral:rRNA from 1 species